CUCUCUCAGGACCUUGCUAUGGAAGCUGUUCCUCCUCUUCUAUGUCACUCAAUCACCUAAACUUGGUCAGACGCUCUGGUCAAACAAGACAUCUAGACCUUUUGAAAUGCAAAUCACAUCAGCAGCUUCUCCUUAAGGCCCUGAUCCUGCAACUGAAUCAACAAGGACCCUGUAUUCGCACUGUGUCCUAAUGAAUUCUGCCCACAUGGAUACCAUUACAAGACUGGGGCCUAAGUGAGGGAAAUAUACAACAAAUAGCACAAUUUGCUUUUUAAAAAUACAGAAUUUUGGACAAAAUAUAGUAUCUUCCUACUGGACCACUGAACUUAAGAUGGAAAUUAUUCCUUAAUCAAGACAUUUUAGAAACAAAACUUUUCCUAGCCCACUGACAUGCUGAUGUUCCCUCCAGUUGGGAUUGGAACACGUUGGUGGCAUAGCAUGGCAAAGCUUGCAUUGCUCCUACCUAUGCUGUACCUACUAUUUGGAUAAACAGGACUUUGACCUUCAA